CGGAGAAGCCCCCCGCGGGAGGAGGGGCUGCCCCGCGGCCGGAUGGCGCGCGCCGGGGAGGGGCCGCGGGCCGCAGGCGGAAGCGGCCGACCCCAGCCCCCCGACUCGGCGUGGGCAGCUCGAAAUGACAGGAUGCGAGAGAACGAGCGACGUCCGGGCGCAGCCGGGUCCUCCCAAACCUCCCAGCCUCCCCGCACCGGCCUUGGCUCCCUUCUAGGCUUCACGGGCUCCCCUGCUCAGGCUCCUCUCACCCUUAUCAGACCGUCCUGGAAUUAUUUGUUUACCUGGCUGCCUCGCUUACUCUUCAGGGAGAGCCUUCCCGCAAGACAACGCCGCGCCCUCUUUAUCAUUAUAACCCCGCUGCUAUUUAAAUACGCUACCUGGUAUACAGUAGGCACUCAAUAAAUACUUGUUGGCUAA